rnacentral:rRNA from 1 species
AACGAACGCUGGCGGCAUGCCUAACACAUGCAAGUCGAACGAAGGCUUCGGCCUUAGUGGCGCACGGGUGCGUAACGCGUGGGAAUCUGCCCUUUGGUUCGGAAUAACAGCUGGAAACGGCUGCUAAUACCGGAUGAUGACGAAAGUCCAAAGAUUUAUCGCCAGAGGAUGAGCCCGCGUUGGAUUAGGUAGUUGGUGGGGUAAAGGCCUACCAAGCCGACGAUCCAUAGCUGGUCUGAGAGGAUGAUCAGCCACACUGGGACUGAGACACGGCCCAGACUGCUACGGGAGGGAGCAGUGGGGAAUAUUGGACAAGGGGCGCAAGCCUGAUACAGCAAUGCCGCGUGAGUGAUGAAGGCCCUAGGGUUGUAAAGCUCUUUUACCCGGGAAGAUAAUGACGGUACCGGGAGAAUAAGCCCCGGCUAACUCCGUG